UGGCAAGGCACGGCGUGUCUCACCACCGUGCAAUUUCACUUUUCUGGCGAUUUUUGCCAAUUUGGUGUCCCCAGGGUCAGUCACUCUUGCAAAUGAGGCUAUCCUUGUCCUCUCUGAGUUACUCAGCCGGUUAAGCAAAGCCCAACAUCAGUCCACUGCUGGAUGAGGGAGUCCCUUCCCAAGCUGCCGCCGUCACCUGCGUCUCGCGCGUCGCCACCAACCCAUCGGCGCGCCCCCCCCCUGCGCACGAGCCGAUGUUGUGUCGCUCCAUCUCCCCGGUGGUGGGGACAUCUUCCUACCAUCUGUUGUUCUCGUCCGCGCGCUGCCACUCACAGCCGUCGAGCGUCAACAAGGCUGGCCAUCGUGACGUCUAUCGUAGCGGUCUCGGGCCACAGUUCCUAUGAGCACUGUUACAUUGUUUUUAUAGCUUUAUUUUGGGGAUUUUUUAAAACGUUUCGGUUUAGUCACGUUUGUUUGUUGUGGUACAAAGUUAGACCGAUAAUUUGAAUCUACAUUGUCUUGUGGUUGUUAUUGUUUGACUUGUACCCCACUUGGGAUGUUUGCACACAGCGUUGAAAUACGGUGUUUUUUGAAAAUAUUUAUUUAAAACUUUUUUGUACAUUUCAUAAAAGCGUGUUUAAAAGUAUACAUGUACAGAUACAUACACAUAGGAAUACGUACAGAGAUACAGCUUCGCUUUGUGUGACAUUUUUUAGAACGCAUCUGCUUUCCGCAUGAAGCGAGUUAAAGCUGCAUUCGUAAAUGUCGUUGUUGGAGUAAUAAUAAUAAUAAUAUAUUUUAGUUAUAACCGGUCGAAAGCCAAUUGUGAUCAGUUUGCCAAAUGGAUGCACCUUUUUCAUAUCGCAACACUCGUAGCAAUAUGGUAUCGGUAUUGUGUCGGCUCGGGGUGAUUAAUUUGGUAUGGGAAUUGUC